UACGGAGGGUGCAAGCGUUAUCCGGAUUCACUGGGUUUAAAGGGUGCGUAGGUUGUUAGGUAAGUCAGUGGUGAAAUACUCCGACUCAAUCGGAGAACUGCCGUUGAUACUAUCUAUCUUGAAUACGGUGGAGGCGGGCGGAAUGCGUCAUGUAGUGGUGAAAUACUUAGAUAUGACGCAGAACACCCAUUGCGAAGGCAGCUCGCUACACCGGCAUUGACACUGAGGCACGAAAGCGUGGGGAGCGAACAGG
rnacentral:rRNA from 1 species